CGGAGCAGAGAGGAAGGCCGUGUGGUCGUAAGACUAUCCUGCACACGUUCCCUGGAAGAGUUCAGCCUUCAGCAGCACUAACCUGGCUCCUCAGCCUAAACUCACCUCUCGAACGUGUGGGAUGCUACGGCAGUACGGCGAUGGCAAGCUACUACAGCUUUCACAGCUAUCACACGGCACGUCAUAACUGUCCAGGAAACCCUACAAUUCCUCAAGUACUUCUUGUUUCUGACAAACAUCCUUCCUGCCCUUCACAAAGAGUAUUACAUCGUGCAGAAACGGUUAUGAAAAUCACGCCGGAUCAAGGGCAAACCGUGCUAACGUGAGAGGGAUCGGUCCGGCAGGAAGCUCCACUGCAGAUGCUCUGUGGCCCAGAAACUCCACGCCCCAUUGCCUGGCCAGGCAGCUUCUACAGCAUCACCUCGGGGGAGAGAGACCCAUCACGGACUGCAGAGAGGCCGCCACCGCAUGCCAGGACCUCUGCGUGCACACGGUGCUGGAUGCGGAAUCACAGCCUCCCCGUGCAGUUGCCCUCGAGCUCCUGCUGCUCAUGACACGCUGUCACCUGACGGACCGGGACCAGCUCCGGGCGGAAGCGAGCCCGCUGCAUGUUAGCAGACUGGAGGGAAUUUGGACUUGGAUUGCCCAAAGCGGUGAGGUUUCCAGGCUGAUGGCAGCUUGGAUGCUGAUCUCCUUACAGGACUUUGAAGACUGCAUCCUCACAGCUUUCCCUGCACUUGCGUGCAAACAUUUUUGUUGCAAGGCAAGAGGGUGAGGAGGAGUCAGCGGAGCCGAUAAACAUGGUGCAAUUGAGCAACCCAAUAAACUUUAUCCAAUUUGUCUUACA
rnacentral:lncRNA from 1 species